UUAAGUUUCCAGAAAAACCUAUUGAUGGGUGAAAUCACGUGUUCAUCUUGUCAAACAGUGAAUUUCCGAUGGUGUCACAUUAUUAAUUGUCCAUCCUUCUUCACUAAUCUUAAGGAUGUUCUAUUUGUUCACUCUCACUCAAUUCACCAGUAAAGUAACAAUUGUACAGCUAUCACUGUUUCCCCAGCAGUCCCUAAUCAGACAGUGAUAACCAGCACAAAUUGACGUAAAUAAACCUGAUGACCAGGUAAGAAUUUAGUAUUCAAUACACAUGGCUAGGCUUCCAAUUAGAAAAACACAUGUUCCAUCAAAAGGUAACUAUCAAAUGCCCGAGGGCAGACACAGUAUAGCGUCAAUUCAACAAUGUCUGGGCCAGAGGGCAAGAAAUCCCAUCAACACAUUCCACUGACUACCUGAACAGUCCACACAUGGAGGAGAUUGGGGGGGACGUUAUCUUGUACACUGAACUUAAAUGCUGAUAUAAACCCUAUUUUUGUCCAACUAGAGUCGUUGGACAUGGAGGUUAGGUGAAGAAGGCCAGACAUUCAGAACCAGCUAAGUGUGCAUCAGAGGCAAGUAAAGAAAUUAAGCUGGAGAUUUGAUGGAUGAAACUUUAUCUAGAAUCAGAGGCAGGCCACAGAAGUGACCAUGCAAGGAAGAAAAUAUCCAAGGCAGAAGGUCUCUCCUUCACCUCUAAAACAGACAUGAAGGCAGACACACCAGUACCAGUAGACUGAACAUCAGUGCAUACCAAGAAGAAAAAUGGACAACCAACAUCACCAAAACGGGAAAACUUACCAGACAUAGUGCUCAGAUCCUGACAUGAUAUUUAUCACCAAAACUGAACACCUUCAAAGUGAGCAUGGAUUGUGUCUUACGGAUUGUGAUCGCUACAUUCAAGAGAAAAUAAUAGAAACUUUUACAGAUGAAGAUCACAAAGACUGAAGAAUGAUCCACUCCAUCUUAGACCCCUGUAAGCAUGGGGAAAAUACACUGAUGAUAGACUUCUAAUUUAUUUCCACUUUGCAGUAAUUUGUAAGGAAAAUAUGUAGAUUUAAUACAUUGACAGACUAUUAAUAAAUGUUAGAGAAAAACAAAAUUAAUAUUUUUAAGAAUUAGAACAAAAAACAGUUUUCGUGUAUACUAAAUCACUAAAUUUUGCAAUUUAUCUCACUCACAAGGUACCAAAAGUAAUGAUAUCAAAGAUGAAUCUGCCAUGUUACUCACCAAUUAAAGUCAAGAUUUUGAUUUCUUUAUGAUGUUCACACUACUUUAUAAAUUGAAAGAUAUGCAUGAUAUUGCAAUGGAAAUAAGUACCAAGUUUAUUGUAACAAGCCCUUUCUGCUAUUCUUGAACUCUCAAUUUGACAAACCCCAAUAAAAAAUAAAUAAUCAAUUAGAGAGAACAGUAACAGCUUUAGCAGUUUUAGCAGCUAUGCGGACCCUGGGGGCUGAAACUUUUGGAGUAACAUCCUAUGAUGGCAAAGGUGUAAGCUCUCCAGGAUCCUAGUUUCUUUUAUUUUUGUUUUUGAUAUCUGCUUUUUC